rnacentral:tRNA from 3 species
GCGCCCUUAGCUCAGUUGGAUAGAGCAACGACCUUCUAAGUCGUGGGCCGUAGGUUCGAAUCCUGCAGGGCGCGCCA